rnacentral:rRNA from 1 species
CCCCACUGCUAUCGGGAUGGGACUAAGACAUGCUAGUCGUGCGUCUCCAAGCCAUGGCGGAGACGCGGCGCACAGCUCAGUAACACGUGGCUAACCUGCCCUUAGGACAGGGACAACCCCGGGAAACUGGGGCUAAUCCCUGAUAGGUGAGGGUUCCUGGAAUGGGCCCUCGCCGAAAGGGCGCCUAGACCAUGCUUCUAGGCGCUGCCCAAGGAUGGAGCCGCGGCCGAUCAGGUUGUUGGUGAGGCAACGGCUCACCAAGCCUUUAACCGGUACGGGCCGUGAGAGCGGGAGCCCGGAGAUGGGUACUGAGACAAGGACCCAGGCCCUACGGGGCGCAGCAGUCGCGAAAACUCCGCAAUACGCGAAAGCGUGACGGGGCUAUCCCGAGUGCCGUCCGCUGAGGAUGGCUUUUCCCUAGUGUAUAAAGCUGGGGGAAUAAGGAGAGGGCAAGCCUGGUGUCAGCCGCCGCGGUAAUACCAGCUCUCCGAGUGGUGGGGAUGCUUAUUGGGCCUAAAGCAUUCGUAGCCGGUUGGGCAAGUCCUCCGUUAAAUCCAGCGAUUCAAUCGUUGGACUGCGGGGGAUACUGCCCGGCUUGGGGGCGGAAGAGGCCGACGGUAUUCUCGGGGUAGGGGUGAAAUCCUAUAAUCCCGGGAGGACCACCAGUGGCGAAGGCUGUCGGCUAGAACGCGCCCGACGGUGAGGGAUGAAAGCUGGGGGAGCGAACCGGAUUAGAUACCCGGGUAGUCCCAGCUGUAAACGAUGCAGGCUAGGUGUUGGCGCGGCUACGUGCCGCUCCAGUGCCGCAAGGAAGCCGUUAAGCCUGCCGCCUGGGAAGUACGGCCGCAAGGCUGAAACUUAAAGGAAUUGGCGGGGGAGCACCACAAGGGGUGAAGCUUGCGGUUU